rnacentral:rRNA from 1 species
CUGGUCUUGACAUCCACAGAACUUUCCAGAGAUGGAUUGGUGCCUUCGGGAACUGUGAGACAGGUGCUGCAUGGCUGUCGUCAGCUCGUGUUGUGAAAUGUUGGGUUAAGUCCCGCAACGAGCGCAACCCUUAUCCUUUGUUGCCAGCGGUCCGGCCGGGAACUCAAAGGAGACUGCCAGUGAUAAACUGGAGGAAGGUGGGGAUGACGUCAAGUCAUCAUGGCCCUUACGACCAGGGCUACACACGUGCUACAAUGGCGCAUACAAAGAGAAGCGACCUCGCGAGAGCAAGCGGACCUCAUAAAGUGCGUCGUAGUCCGGAUUGGAGUCUGCAACUCGACUCCAUGAAGUCGGAAUCGCUAGUAAUCGUAGAUCAGAAUGCUACGGUGAAUACGUUCCC